AAAUUGAAGAGUUUGAUCAUGGCUCAGAUUGAACGCUGGCGGCAGGCCUAACACAUGCAAGUCGAACGGUAACAGGAAGCAGCUUGCUGCUUCGCUGACGAGUGGCGGACGGGUGAGUAAUGUCUGGGAAACUGCCUGAUGGAGGGGGAUAACUACUGGAAACGGUAGCUAAUACCGCAUAAUGUCGCAAGACCAAAGAGGGGGACCUUCGGGCCUCUUGCCAUCGGAUGUGCCCAGAU
rnacentral:rRNA from 1 species